GAUGAACGCUGGCGGCGUGCCUAAUACAUGCAAGUCGAGCGAACGGACGAGAAGCUUGCUUCUCUGAUGUUAGCGGCGGACGGGUGAGUAACACGUGGAUAACCUACCUAUAAGACUGGGAUAACUUCGGGAAACCGGAGCUAAUACCGGAUAAUAUUUUGAACCGCAUGGUUCAAAAGUGAAAGACGGUCUUGCUGUCACUUAUAGAUGGAUCCGCGCUGCAUUAGCUAGUUGGUAAGGUAACGGCUUACCAAGGCAACGAUGCAUAGCCGACCUGAGAGGGUGAUCGGCCACACUGGCACUAAGACACGGUCCAGACUCCUACAGGAGGCAGCAGUAGGGAAUCUUCCGCAAUGGGCGAAAGCCUGACGUAGCAACGCCGCGUGAGUGAUGAAGGUCUUCGGAUCGUAAAACUCUGUUAUUAGGGAAGACCAUAUGUGUAAGUAACUGUGCACAUCUUGACGGUACCUAAUCAGAAAGCCACGGCUAACUCCGUG
rnacentral:rRNA from 1 species